GUGAAGAAUUGCUAUAGUGGAAUGGUUAUAUGAGAAUGGCUGUGUGAGAAGGCUGUGGUGAGAAUGGCUAUAGUGAGAAUGGCUAUAGUGAGAAUGGUUAUAGUUGGAAUGGCUGUGGGUGAGAAUGGCUGUGGUGAGAAUGGCUAUAGUGAGAAUGGCUAUAGUGAGAAUGGCUAUAGUGAGAAUGGCUAUAGUGAGAAUGGCUGUGGUGAGAAUGGCUGUGGUGAGAAUGGCUAUAGUGAGAAUGGCUAUAGUGAGAAUGGCUAUAGUGAGAAUGGCUGUGGUGAGAAUGGCUGUGGUGAGAAUGGCUGUGGUGAGAAUGGACGUGGUGAGAAUGGCUGUGGUGAGAAUGGACGUGGUGAGAAUGGCUAUAGUGAGAAUGGCUGUGGUGAGGACAAAGAGAGGUGGAGAUAAUCACACCAAGGAAGAUUCCUACGCAUUGUAGAAUGUUCGACACACAAUAGGUUGUAA
rnacentral:lncRNA from 1 species